rnacentral:rRNA from 1 species
AUUGAACGCUGGCGGCAUGCUUUACACAUGCAAGUCGAACGGUAACAGGGUGCUUGCACCGCUGACGAGUGGCGAACGGGUGAGUAAUGCGUCGGAACGUGCCGAGUAGUGGGGGAUAACGCAGCGAAAGUUGUGCUAAUACCGCAUACGUACUGAGGUAGAAAGUGGGGGACCUUCGGGCCUCACGCUAUUCGAGCGGCCGACGUCUGAUUAGCUAGUAGGUGAGGUAAAGGCUCACCUAGGCGACGAUCAGUAGCGGGUCUGAGAGGAUGAUGCGGCACACUGGGACUGAGACACGGCCCAGAAUCCUACGGGAGGCAGCAGUGGGGAAUUUUGGACAAUGGGCGAAAGCCUGAUCCAGCCAUGCCGCGUGUCUGAAGAAGGCCUUCGGGUUGUAAAGGACUUUUGUCAGGGAGGAAAUCCCUAGUGCUAAUAACACUGGGGGAUGACAGUACCUGAAGAAUAAGCACCGGCUAACUACGUGCCAGCCGCCGUAAAAC